rnacentral:rRNA from 1 species
UACGGGGGGGGGCAAGCGUUGUUCGGAAUUACUGGGCGUAAAGGGUGCGUAGGCGGUCCGCUAAGUUGGAUGAUGAAAACCUCUGGGCUUAACCCAGAGCCUUGCAUUCAAAACUGGACGGGCUAGAGUUCUGGAGGGGGUAGCGGAAUCCUGGUGUAGCGGUGAAAUGACGUAGAUACUCAGGAGGAACACCGGUGGUGUAGACGGCUCAGCUGGACCGUAACUGACGCUUGAGACACGAAA